GGGGGCGGGGCGGGGGCAGUCUCCCGGGAGGUCCCAGAGCCGGCCUCGGAGAGGGGUGGUGACGAGAGGGGUGCGCGGUGCACCUAGGGAGUUGUAGUUCUCUUCUGGGGACGGCUAUUCUUGAGAGAAAAGUGGGGAACUACAAGCCCCAGCGAUCCUUGGGUUCUCCGCCUUGCUGCCAGCAUCUGACCAUGACCAGUGGGGAUUGUGCCCUCUGCUGUUGAACUCUGUACCGAAGUGUGUUCUUGCGGGUUUACUUGUAGCUUACCCGCCCACUGUCCCUUGCCAGAUGACUUUUAUUUUCCUUGCUAAUUGAAAAAGGAGGAUUUCCAGGGACUCUAAACGGCCCGGGGAGACGGGCAGUGUCCUCAUUGAAUAUGCUUGCGGGAGCCCUGAGCCCAUCCUCUCCCGCCGGAAGGAGCACAGCGAAGAACCGGAGUUGUUUGAAGUUUGCCGUCGCUUUAUUCAGGCGGAGUGAAGUGGGAAAGGGAAGAAGCGGUGGCGUGGAGACGCGGGGGGCUGCUUCGCGUGUUCCCGUCGCCUUCCCGGGUUUUUUCAGUCACGUUCACAACAGGAUUUCCCUGCAGCUUCUAUGUGUAGUUGUGGUCUGAAAAGUUACAUUUAUUUCGUCAGUUGAAACAGCAUUGUAGUCUGUAGCGGGACAGUUUACUGUUUCAAAGAAUUUAGUACACGUUUUAAAUUGAUCUAACAGUCUUAGAUUUGUAAGUCGGGAUUUCCACACGUGAGACUUUUAAAAUAACUUUACUACCAUCCAGGGCCUGUCUGAACUUUCAGUUGCUAAACUUGGAGGUGAGGAGAGAAAAGGAGAGAGAACUGGAAGUUGUGGCGAGAGAAUCGCACUUAGCUUAUCCUUGCAGUUUCUCCAAGAGGAGUGGAAGCAGCUACCUGGACAACAAAUAAAUACUUCUCUGUGAUUCCUGAAA